UAUAGGCUUUGGGUUUACGGUUUACGGUUUAGAUUUAGGGUUUAGGAUUUACGGUUUGGGUUUAGGAUUUGGGUUUAGGGUUUAGGGUUUAGAGUUUGAUUUUAGAAUUUAGGGUUUAGAUUUAAGGUUUAGGGUUUAGUUAGUGGCAUAAGCAUCAUUAAAAUUGGCGUUAUUUUUUUUCAAUUAUUUCAGAUUUUUUUAAAAUAAAGUUAAUCUAUUUUAUUAUUAAUUUAGAUAACAAGAGGAGAGGUAAAUCUAAAGGUUCACCCUAGGGGUGAACCUAAAUCUUGUUCCUAUUGAUAUAUGUUUAGUCCAACUAAUUAUUUUCAACAAUCUAUACUUAAAAAAAUACUAAGUGCAUCUAAUUAUAUAUUGUGGAUGUAACCACCACUUGAGCAUAAUAAUCGGGAUCCAGUUUUUCUAUUUACAUCUAAAUAU
rnacentral:lncRNA from 1 species